AUUGAACGCUGGCGGAAUGCUUUACACAUGCAAGUCGAACGGCAGCACGGACUUCGGUCUGGUGGCGAGUGGCGAACGGGUGAGUAAUGUAUCGGAACGUGCCCAGUCGUGGGGGAUAACGUAGUGAAAAUUACGCUAAUACCGCAUACGAUCUAUGGAUGAAAGCGGGGGACCGUAAGGCCCCGCGCGAUUGGAGCGGCCGAUAUCAGAUUAGGUAGUUGGUGGGGUAAAGGCUCACCAAGCCGACGAUCUGUAGCAGGUCUGAGAGGACGACCAGCCACACUGGAACUGAGACACGGUCCAGACUCCUACGGGAGGCAGCAGUGGGGAAUUUUGGACAAUGGGCGCAAGCCUGAUCCAGCCAUUCCGCGUGCAGGAUGAAGGCCCUCGGGUUGUAAACUGCUUUUGUACGGAACGAAAAGGCUCUGGUUAAUACCUGGGGCUCAUGACGGUACCGUAAGAAUAAGCACCGGCUAACUACGUGCCAGCCGCCGCCGUAA
rnacentral:rRNA from 1 species